UAGGGAAUAUUGCAAAAUGGGCGCAAGCCCGAUGCAGCAACGCCGCGUGGGCGAUGAAGGCCUUCGGGUCGUAAAGCCCUUUUUGAGGGGAUGAGGAAGGACAGUACCCUCAGAAUAAGCCUCGGCUAACUACGUGCCAGCAGCCGCGGUAAAACGUAGGAGGCGAGCGUUAUCCGGAUUUACUGGGCGUAAAGCGCGUGCAGGCGGAUUGGAGAGUUGGAUGUAAAAGCUCCCGGCUUAACUGGGAGAGGUCGUUCAAUACUUCCAGUCUUGAGUGCAGUAGAGGGAAGUGGAAUUCCGGGUGUAGUGGUGAAAUGCGUAGAUAUCCGGAGGAACACCAGUGGCGAAAGCGGCUUCCUGGACUGUAACUGACGCUCAGACGCGAAAGCUAGGGUAGCA
rnacentral:rRNA from 1 species